UUGCUUUAGCAGCACAUAAACUAAAAUUGGAAAGAUACAGAGAAUAUUAAUAUGGCCUCUGCACAAGGAUGACACGCAAAUUUGUGAAGUGUUGCAUAUUUUA
rfam:Erinaceus europaeus unplaced genomic scaffold scaffold00743, whole genome shotgun sequence